CUCUCUCCUCCUUCUCUUUCUCUCUCCUCUUUCUAUCUUUCUUCUAUGUUCGCCUUCUUUCUCCUUCUUGGCCAUCAGUUUCCUUCAAUCUCAUCUCCUUCUCUCUCUCUUUCUCUUUCUCUUUCGUUCUUCCCAGAUUAUCCUCCCCUUCUCACUCGUUUCCACCACCAAAUGCCACCACCGAAGAGGCGAAGACCAACACCCAAGACCACCAAGAACACCGAUUCUAGGUAUGUUAUUUAGAUCUGAAAUCGAAGAAGCAAGAUACAAGAAUGAAUGGGGUUUUUGUUUUUGUUUUUUUUAUUUAUAUUGUAAUUUUUUUUUGUAUUUAUAUGUUGUAAUCGAAGUAUUUAUAUGUUGUAAUUUUUUUUUAUUAUGUAUUGCAAAUUUUCGAUGAUAUUGAUGUUGCAAAUUUUCGAUGAUAUUGAUGUUGCAAAUUUUCGAUGAUAUUGAUGUUGUUUUAAUCGAUAUUCGCUUUAUGUUA